GACAGAGGUGGCUAGCGUUGUUCGGUGUCACUGGGCUUAAAGCGUGUGUAGGCGGGAAAGUAAGCGUUUUGUGAAAGCCCCCGGCUUAACCGGGGAACUGCUUGACGAACUGCUUUUCUUGAGGCAGGCAGGGGUGCGUGGAACUCUUGGUGGAGCGGUGAAAUGCGUAGAUAUCAAGAGGAACGCCAGUGGUGAAGACGGCGCACUGGGCCUGUCCUGACGCUGAGACACGAAAGCGUGGGUAGCGAACGGGAUUAGAUACCCCCGUA
rnacentral:rRNA from 1 species